rnacentral:rRNA from 1 species
UACAGAGGGGGCAAGCGUUGUUCGGAAUUAUUGGGCGUAAAGGGCGCGUAGGCGGCUCAUGAAGGCUGUGGUGAAAGUCCGGGGCUCAACCUCGGAUCGGCCGUGGCGACUCGUGGGCUGGAGCACUGUAGAGGCGGGUGGAAUUCCGGGUGUAGCGGUGGAAUGCGUAGAUAUCGUAAGGAAGACCAGUGGCGAAGGCGGAUCUCUGGACAGUUACUGACACUGAGGCACGAAGGCCAGGGGAGCAAACGGG